rnacentral:rRNA from 1 species
GAUGAACGCUGACAGAAUGCUUAACACAUGCAAGUCGAGCGGGGUUGAAGCGAGAGGUAACUCGAGCUUCUACCUAGCGGCGGACGGGUGAGUAACGCGUGGGCAACCUGCCUCAAGGUUUGGGAUAACAGCCCGAAAGGGCUGCUAAUACCGGAUAUGCCUAUGGCCUCGCACGGGGCUAUGAGCAAAGGGGAAACCCGCCUUGAGAUGGGCCCGCGUCCCAUCAGCUAGUUGGUGAGGUAACAGCUCACCAAGGCGACGACGGGUAGCCGGCCUGAGAGGGUGACCGGCCACACUGGGACUGAGACACGGCCCAGACUCCUACGGGGGGCAGCAGUGGGGGAUCUUGCACAAUGGGCGAAAGCCUGAUGCAGCGACGCCGCGUGAGCGAAGAAGGCCUUCGGGUUGUAAAGCUCUGUCUGGAGGGACGAACAAAAUGACGGUACCUCCGGAGGAAGCCACGGCUAACUACGUG